GAUGAACGCUAGCGGGAGGCUUAAUACAUGCAAGUCGCACGGCAGCAUUAUUGUAGUGAUAUAAUAGAUGGCGAGUGGCGCACGGGUGAGUAACGCGUACACAACCUACCCUUAAGAGGGGGAUAACUCAGAGAAAUUUGGGAUAAUACCGCAUAAGAUCUUAAGAUUGCAUGAUUUAGAGAUUAAAGUUAAGGCGCUUAAGGAUGGGUGUGCGUUAGAUUAGGUAGUUGGUAGGGUAACGGCCUACCAAGCCGACGAUCCAUAAGGGGCGUGAGAGCGUGAUCCCUCACACGGGUACUGAGACACGGACCCGACUCCUACGGGAGGCAGCAGUAAGGAAUAUUGGACAAUGCCCGCAAGGGUGAUCCAGCCAUUCCGCGUGCAGGAAGACUGCCCUAUGGGUUGUAAACUGCUUUUAUUAGGGAAGAAACCCCUUGACGAGAUUGAGGGUUGACGGUACCUGAUGAAUAAGCACCGGCUAACUCCGUGCCAGCAGCCGCGGUAAU
rnacentral:rRNA from 1 species